GAGUUUGAUCGUGGCUCAGGAUGAGCGCUGGCGGCGUGCCUAAUACAUGCAAGUCGAGCGAACAGACGGGGAGCUUGCUCCCCUGACGUUAGCGGCGGACGGGUGAGUAACACGUGGGUAACCUACCUAUAAGACUGGGAAUAACUCCGGGAAACCGGGGCUAAUGCCGGAUAACAUGUUGGACCGCAUGGUCCUACAGUGAAAGACGGUCUUGCUGUCACUUAUAGGUGGACCCGCGCCGUAUUAGCUAGUUGGUAAGGUACGGCUUACCAAGGCAACGAUACGUAGCCGACCUGAGAGGGUGAUCGGCCACACUGGAACUGAGACACGGUCCAGACUCCUACGGGAGGCAGCAGUAGGGAAUCUUCCGCAAUGGGCGAAAGCCUGACGGAGCAACGCCGCGUGAGUGAUGAAGGCC
rnacentral:rRNA from 1 species